CCAAUGUGGAUACCCCGGGAGGUCACUCUCCCCAGAAUCUGACAAGGUGGCCUGCGGGAGCAUAGGGCUCUGCUCCACGAUGUACAAUCCCUUUCCACAACAUUGGAGAAGAAGCUGGGCCUCAUGCCUGAGCCUGCACAUUCCUACAACUUCUCAGAGUCCUUUGGGCAGUGACUGAGGAGACAAACCAUGCAGGAAACAAUG
rnacentral:snoRNA from 1 species